rnacentral:tRNA from 1 species
GGCCUCGUAUCUCAGUUGGCUAGAGCGUUGGCUGUAAUAAAGCCUUCCCUUGAUGGCGUGGGUUCGAAUCCCACCGAGGUCA